rnacentral:rRNA from 1 species
CCUACGGGAGGCAGCAGUGAGGAAUAUUGGUCAAUGGACGAGAGUCUGAACCAGCCAAGUAGCGUGAAGGAUGACUGCCCUAUGGGUUGUAAACUUCUUUUAUAUGGGAAUAAAAUGUUCCACGUGUGGGAUUUUGUAUGUACCUUAUGAAUAAGGAUCGGCUAACUCCGUGCCAGCAGCCGCGGUAAUACGGAGGAUCCGAGCGUUAUCCGGAUUUAUUGGGUUUAAAGGGAGCGUAGGUGGAUUGUUAAGUCAGUUGUGAAAGUUUGCGGCUCAACCGUAAAAUUGCAGUUGAAACUGGCAGUCUUGAGUACAGUAGAGGUGGGCGGAAUGCGUGGUGUAGCGGUGAAAUGCUUAGAUAUCACGAAGAACUCCGAUUGCGAAGGCAGUUCACUGGACUGCAACUGACACUGAGGCUCGAAAGUGUGGGUAUCAAACAGGAUUAGAUACCCCGGUAGUC